GGAGCCGGGGCCGAGCGGGGACAGGAGGCGCGGGCCGGGCCCCGGCGGGGAAAGCCGGUGCUGUCACAUCGCUGAAAUCACACCAUGUGUGAACCCAUGCGGGUUUUUCUUUCAAAAUUCAAGAAGUUAUCGAUUUAUUUACCUGUUCAGUGCAAUUCCGGAGCGUUACUAAAUGCUGCGGUGUUACUAUCUAGUUUAUCUUAAAUAUUCAGGUUUUUUGAGGUAAAAAAAGGCCGAGACGGCCUCCGGACCGAGGCUGAGUUACAAUGUGACAACAGUCUUGCUACUUAAUCUGGAGAUGCAUUGUUCGUCCGGAGGGGCUGGUGUUCCUACUCAGCCCUUUCAGUAUCGUUGUUUCAUUUCUCUUCAUCUAAUCUAAAUAUCUGGUUGUCUGUCCCUGUGCUAACUUGAAGAGGUGACCAUUUGCUGUGAGUUAAUGAUGUUUAUGAUCUCUCUUCCUUCUAUGAAGCAACAUCACAAAAGGAAUGCACUGUGCAAGAUUUUCUCCUUGCAGUUAAUAGUACCAGGCACAUUUUUGUUGAGAAAAAUGUUCUUUAAAACAUACUAGAAUAAAUAAAAAUAAAAAUGCUCUGCUAUGUUAGCAUUGUUUUGUGCUUAAUCCUGAAAAAGAGGGAACUUUUCUCCUUGCAGCUUACAGUUUGUUUGGGAUCCAGCUAGUGUAUAUAAUUGGAAAUUGCAUUUCCAAUUAGGAAGGGAAAAUGAAGGGAGAAUAAAGGAGUCUCAUCAGUAAUAUGUUAACAUGGAAAAUUACGGAAAAUUACUGUAACCCUCUACUGUCCAUCUAUUUAAGGUACAGGAGUAAUAUUACAGGAGUAAUAUUGGGGGGUCUGAAAGAAUCAAAUAAUAAGAAUUUUACUUGAGGAAGAUGAUGUGUUUUUACAUGUGGGAAAAAACGUGUAAGGAGCAGUGUAGUAACCAGUGGUCACAACAUUUUUUGCUGUAUGUCUUAGGCCUUGGACUGUCAGAACAUUUUAUGCUGUAGCAUACUGGUACCUUCUGCUAAAUUUUGUUUCCCAUGGCUUAUCCUACGUGGCUUCUUGUGGUUUAAGGGAAGGAGGAAGGAGGCAGGUAUAAAGUGGAAAAUAAGUGUCUAGGACCAAAAGAAGGUCCCUGAUGUAUUACAAGAAUUUGUAUUUCUGCUUUCUGUCUUGUUGUUUCUACGGAAAAGUACAGAAAAGUACUGUUUCUUAGAAGUCCCUGUGUUAUGGAUCUAUGCUGGAUUUUGAAGGUCAGUGUUGCUGGACUGUGUAGAUACCAAAACAUUACUGCUAUUCAAGUGUCAUACCUUUUCCUGCUGUAACUACUGUUUGACUCAUGUAAUGAUUCACAGUUCAGAUAUACAGUUCACUGUUCAGACAUACAGUUUAGGAAAGAUCAGCAAGAGGUUCCAUUUUGAGAGUAUCUCUAAGAGUUGGAAGCAAC